rnacentral:lncRNA from 1 species
AUCAGUGGUGAGUCCUCAUUCUUCGAGGACUAGUGACAUGUUUAUCUUUAUUGCUUUUAGUCUUUAGUUUCAGUUUUGCUAGAUCUAGUUGGGGCAUGUCCCAACAUUUCUAGUCAGUUUAGAGGCUUAUUUCAGACAUAGUUAGAUUCAGCUUAGUAUUGAGUUAAUAUCUUCAUUGUAUUAAACUCAUCAGUUAUCAUUUAUCUCAGUUAUAGUAUAUGG